CACAUGCAAGUCGAGCGGUAGCACAGAGAGCUUGCUCUCGGGUGACGAGCGGCGGACGGGUGAGUAAUGUCUGGGAAACUGCCUGAUGGAGGGGGAUAACUACUGGAAACGGUAGCUAAUACCGCAUAACGUCGCAAGACCAAAGUGGGGGACCUUCGGGCCUCAUGCCAUCAGAUGUGCCCAGAUGGGAUUAGCUAGUAGGUGGGGUAACGGCUCACCUAGGCGACGAUCCCUAGCUGGUCUGAGAGGAUGACCAGCCACACUGGAACUGAGACACGGUCCAGACUCCUACGGGAGGCAGCAGUGGGGAAUAUUGCACAAUGGGCGCAAGCCUGAUGCAGCCAUGCCGCGUGUGUGAAGAAGGCCUUCGGGUUGUAAAGCACUUUCAGCGGGGAGGAAGGCGUUAAGGUUAAUAACCUUGGCGAUUGACGUUACCCGCAGAAGAAGCACCGGCUAACUCCGUGCCAGCAGCCGCGGUAAUACGGAGGGUGCAAGCGUUAAUCGGAAUUACUGGGCGUAAAGCGCACGCAGGCGGUCUGUCAAGUCGGAUGUGAAAUCCCCGGGCUCAACCUGGGAACUGCAUUCGAAACUGGCAGGCUAGAGUCUUGUAGAGGGGGGUAGAAUUCCAGGUGUAGCGGUGAAAUGCGUAGAGAUCUGGAGGAAUACCGGUGGCGAAGGCGGCCCCCUGGACAAAGACUGACGCUCAGGUGCGAAAGCGUGGGGAGCAAACAGGAUUAGAUACCCUGGUAGUCCACGCCGUAAACGAUGUCGAUUUGGAGGUUGUGCCCUUGAGGCGUGGCAUCCGGAGCUAACGCGUUAAAUCGACCGCCUGGGGAGUACGGCCGCAAGGUUAAAACUCAAAUGAAUUGACGGGGGCCCGCACAAGCGGUGGAGCAUGUGGUUUAAUUCGAUGCAACGCGAAGAACCUUACCUGGUCUUGACAUCCACAGAACUUUCCAGAGAUGGAUUGGUGCCUUCGGGAACUGUGAGACAGGUGCUGCAUGGCUGUCGUCAGCUCGUGUUGUGAAAUGUUGGGUUAAGUCCCGCAACGAGCGCAACCCUUAUCCUUUGUUGCCAGCGGUUCGGCCGGGAACUCAAAGGAGACUGCCAGUGAUAAACUGGAGGAAGGUGGGGAUGACGUCAAGUCAUCAUGGCCCUUACGACCAGGGCUACACACGUGCUACAAUGGCAUAUACAAAGAGAAGCGACCUCGCGAGAGCAAGCGGACCUCAUAAAGUAUGUCGUAGUCCGGAUUGGAGUCUGCAACUCGACUCCAUGAAGUCGGAAUCGCUAGUAAUCGUAGAUCAGAAUGCUACGGUGAAUACGUUCCCGGGCCUUGUACACACCGCCCGUCACACCAUGGGAGUGGGUUGCAAAAGAAGUAGGUAGCUUAACCUUCGGGAGGGCGCUUACCACUUUGUGAUUCAUGACUGGGGUGAAGUC
rnacentral:rRNA from 1 species